UAUCUUUCCUCUUCUGCUUUGUUUGGUUUCCAAGAAAGUGAUCUAGGUUUAAUAUGCACUGUGUUUUCUUUCUUUUUCUCAGUGUUUGUUUAGUUUUAAUGAAACAGGAAUGAAGUACAGUGUGUUCUUGAUUUCUGAUUGGUUUCCAAGAAAGUGAAGGAAAAUGAUAUGUCUUGUUAUCAUUUUUUUUUCUGCAUGCUAGAACGAUUAAUAAAAAUGAUAUAUAGAAGGGUUUCACAACUAAGCUCCUUGUUAUUUUGGUUGUUGUCUUCUGAAAAUGAUCUAAAAUUGUCUCCAAAAUAGCUGAGGUGGAAGGCAUGGUUGUGAUUGCUUUCAGAAAGAUUCGAAGUCUGGGUGUUGGAAAUUUAAGGCUUUCCUAUAAAGUAAUGCUUCAAGAUGGAGGCAAGAGACUUGGUUGUAGAUAUAUAAAUGAGCAACUUAAUUUAAGUUUAUGUAUAUUGUCUUAUAGUGUGUUUUUAAUUUCGUUGUAUAUUAUAUGAGUUUCUUCUAUAUAGAGAAAUUGGGGACAACUUUAAACAA